rnacentral:lncRNA from 1 species
AGGGCCUCACGCACUGUAUGUGCUGCAGCUUGGAGAAGGAAGCCCUGGAGGGCAGCCUGUUUGAGGUGCAAUGGCAGCUGGCCCAGCUUGAGGCCCGCCGGGAGCAGCUGGAAGCCGAGGGGCAGGCCCUGCUGCUGGCCAAGGAGACCCUGACUGGGGAGUUGGCGGGCCUGCGGCAGCAAAUAAUAGCUACGCAGGAGAAAGCCAGUCUAGACAAGGAGCUGAUGGCCCAGAAGCUGGUGCAGGCUGAGCGGGAGGCCCAGGCCUCUCUGCGGGAGCAGUGGGCAGCCCAGGAGGAGGACUUACAGUGACUCCAGCGUGAAAAGGUUCAGGCAGCUGGGGAGGGGUGGGCAGAAGUCUGAGCCAGUGUUUCAUCAUCGUUCUUGCUCUGCCUCGGUCUGUACAUCUGUGAAAUGGGACUCCCUCUCUGUUGUGGAGGCCCUGGGGACAGCUGGGAGGACUGGAGGGGUGGUGGGGAGGUUGUGGU